rnacentral:lncRNA from 1 species
GCCACCCGAACCGCUGAGGUUCCUUUCCAUGCUGUGGAGGAUUUGUUCUUUUGCUGUUUGUAAUAAAUCUUGCUGCAGCUAACUUUUUGGGUCUGCGCCGCUUUUAUGAGCUGUAAUACUCACCGCGAAGGUCUGCAGCUUCACUCCUGAGGCCAGCAAGACCAUGAACCCACCGGAAGGAACGAAACUCCAGACGUGCAGCCUUUAAGAGCUGUAACACUCACCGUGAAGGUCUGCAGCUUCGCUCCUGAAGUCAGCGAGACCACGAAACCACCAGAAGGAACAAACUCCAGACACACCAUCUUUAAGAACUGUAACACUCACCGCGGGGGUCUGCUGCUUCAUUCUUGAAGUCAGUGAGACGAAGAAGCCACCAAUUCCGGACGCACUACAACAUGAAUGAAUCUCAAAAAUAUUAUGUUCCUUGAGAAAGAGGAGUCAAAUCCAAAAAGGACAUUAGUUGAGACUCUGAAGACCAUCCCUAUUUUGGGAAAGCUCAAGAUGGGUGGCAGCAGGACCCUGGUUCCCAUUAAGGAGGCCUGAGUUUCCAGCUGCUCUGCUCCCAUUGCAGCAAGGCAAUGGACAUUUGAAUAAGGGAAUCAAGAACCCUGCACAGCACUCCUGUUCUGGGGCCCAGGACAUUGACUACAAAGAACCAUGUUUUCCAAUGUGUGGUGCCUGAAUCAGCAUUGAGAUCAGCAUUAACCGGGAACAUUUUCAGAAAGCAAAUUUUCAAGCUGCCUUCUUUCCUCCUCACCCAUCGAGACCUGUGAAGUCAGCGAUAUGUGUUUUGCGAACACAUAAAUCUCCUUCUAGGAGAUUCGGUAUGUGAUAUACCUGUAAAACACUGCUUAGACUAUUAAACAUAUUGAUCCAUCAAAC